CUGAUUUGCGCAGGCGGUUCGGCAAAUCGGCAGAUCUGCGCCCAGGCGGGAGCCAGGGCCGGGCGAAGCCCUCCCGUGCCGGAUCUCCGUAAAAGGGUUGUUGGUUGGGUGUGGUGGUGGCACAACCCUAGGUGUCGCGGGUGGCAAGGAGGAUGGGUCAGGAGGGCCCACCAGAACGACUUGCUCUCCACUUGUCAACGCCGCCGGGAAUGGACAAGAACGACUUCGACCUGCAGAAUUUCUUGCUGGUACUUGUAUUGAAUAUCGAGUGUCCCUUUGAGCUGAAUAAUGGGCAGUUGGAUCAAGUCCACUUCCUCCACUUGGAUGCCACGGACAAUAACAACUACACCAGCGAGGUCCAUCCCCACUGUCUUGUACUCAUAAUGUUGUGCUGUUUUGGCUUCCCAUGUGAUGCAAUUGUUUGUCUUGCUUGUAUUUUUUACUGCUCACUUGUGUUGGUGGUUCUCUGUCAUGAGGAGCUCAUUACAUGUCUAUUAAACAGUGGGGACAACACGAUGCAUUUGUCUCUCUUUUUUUCUUCCUUCGCCCCGUGACUUCUGCUACAGAGAUAAAGUGUUGUGAGUUGUGUAUUUGAUGGAGUUAUUUGCUUGACCGCCUGUGUCACUCAAAUCAUUGAUAAUUUUUGGUUCUCUAUGGUGAUGGACACAGGUGUGCCAACUCUGAUGUAUUCCAUUCUAUUAAACCAUGUAGACAAUCAUUAGUUUCUGCUGUAGUCUAGUCUUGGCUUCUUGUGUUCAGUAAAUAGUUCACAUUGCUGUGCUACUAGUUCUUCUCUGUGACGCCCUCACAGAGAUGAUGAGUCAGAUUAAUGCAUUAUAUCACACCAUGUGGACAAAUAUAUUUUAGUAGUGUUUUAACAAGUGUAUAACUGAAUAUCCAAUCCCUGAAAACACAGUAGCACCUAAUCUGAAGUUUAGAAUCUCAUUUAGACUUACUGUUUUUAGGUUUCGUGUAGCUGGGUGAGUGUUUGCUUAUGGUACCCUCAAGUUCAUUUGUUUCUUUUGGUUAAUAAAAUCUGACCGUUGAAUGCUACUCUCCCUCCAUCCCAAAAUGUAAGACGCCCAAGGAUUAGUCAAAAAUAUUUAGGAAAAAAUAUACUUCAUGAUGAAUCUAUUGAUAUUGAUUCAGUAUUGUAAUUGUUCAUAUUUUUGUGUAUAUAACUUGGUGAAACUUAGAAAACGUUGACUUUUGAGUUAUCCUUGGAGGCCUUAUAUUUUGGGACGGGGGAGUUGUAGUUUAUCUAAAUGAAUGCUAGUAGUUUAUCUAUCUCAAAUGAGGAGUGUCAAGAAUCUGGAUACUAUUUUUUUCAGGAGUACCUUCCAUGUUCUAAAUGGUAAUACACUAUAUUAUACUAUGUGGAAGAUCAUAGUUUCUGCUGUAGUCUUGACUUCUCUUGGGAGGCUGUGCUGGCGGUCCUCUCUGCUGGAUUUCUGGGGUGGUGCUGUGAUAGUGAUGCACUGCCAAUUGGCCGUUCUGUUGAAGGUUCCUAGUUCCUAGUUAGUACAUGUAAUGUAAUGUAAUUGUUUUGCUCGUCAGUCUUACUCUAGUUCCUAGUUAGUUUUGAUUGAUUAUGAAAUGUGAUUCCAGUUUUGCUGCCAAUAUUAUUUUCUUAUUGCCACAUAGACAAGACUGCUAAUUGUUCAUUCUGCAGGGUCAUUUGAUAAGUCUAUUUUCCACUAAGGGGUGAAGAACCUUGUCUGUCCAUGUGGGGUGGGAUACAGAUUUUGUUAGGCACUGAGUGCCAACAGUAUAUACUAUGCAAUAUCCCAAUUCCUUGACAGGCAACGACUGAUGCCACACUAAAAGCAGUCUCCACUACAGGUUGGUCACCUACAAACUCUUCAGAUCUUACUAUGCAAUAUCCCAAUUCCUUGGCAGGCAACGACUGAUGCCACACUAAAAGCAGUCUCCACUACAGCACGGUCGGCCCUCUUCUUCGCUGCAGCCUCUUUCUGCUGCUUGUCCUUUUCGCGGGCAAGUGCUUCCUCCUGAGCAUGUUCGAGGCGAUGGGCCUCAAACUGGGCGUGGGAGAACAUCCCCUCAAGCCUGUGCCUGCGGCACGAGAUCGGGUACUCGCGCCUCGCCAUCUUCCACUUCCUGUUCACAGUAUGAUUGAAUUGACGAACAAAUAGAAUGUGCUGUAGCAAUGUAGCAAUUUACCAGGUAUUUCGAGAUUAUGUCUUUGUACAGCAGAUUUGAACAUGUAAAAGUAGCAGUACACGAUUGUUUAUUGUACUGAAUUUGAUAUUUGAACAUGUAAAAUGAGCAGUACAUGAUUGUUUAUUGUACCGAAUUUGAGAUUUGAACAUGUAAAAGGAGCAGGAUUGUUUA